UUGAACGCUGGCGGAAUGCUUUACACAUGCAAGUCGAGCGGCAGCGCGGGGGCAACCCUGGCGGCGAGCGGCGAACGGGUGAGUAACACAUCGGAACGUACCCAGUUGUGGGGGAUAGCCCGGCGAAAGCCGGAUUAAUACCGCAUACGACCUGAGGGUGAAAGGGGGGGAUCGCAAGACCUCUCGCAGUUGGAGCGGCCGAUGGCGGAUUAGCUAGUUGGUGGGGUAAAGGCCUACCAAGGCGACGAUCCGUAGCUGGUCUGAGAGGAUGAUCAGCCACACUGGGACUGAGACACGGCCCAGACUCCUACGGGAGGCAGCAGUGGGGAAUUUUGGACAAUGGGGGCAACCCUGAUCCAGCCAUGCCGCGUGAGUGAAGAAGGCCUUCGGGUUGUAAAGCUCUUUCAGACGGAAAGAAAUCGGGUGCGUGAAUAGCGCGCCUGGAUGACGGUACUGUCAGAAGAAGCACCGGCUAACUACGU
rnacentral:rRNA from 1 species